AAAUGCUAUUUGAAUGUGGUAAGUAUUAGUAUUGAAUAUAAUAAUUUUUAAGCAUAAUUUUAAAUGCUAUCUGAUAUACAUAUAUAUGAAACAAGCUCAAAUUUGAUAUGACAGAUGAAAUAUAUUAAUAUUUGUAUUUAGGUGAAAUAGGCGAAGGGUGGCUUCUGGGAGAUUCAGCAUACCCCCUCAGACCCUGGAUGCUGACCCCAUAUCUUCAAUCUUCCACACCUAGUGAAUUUCGAUAGUUCACGUCACAUGAAGGCGAGAAACACAAUCGAGCGCUGUUUUGGAGUGUGGAAAGGUCGUUUCCGAUGCCUUGAUAAAAGUGGUGGACCUAUAUUAUUUGAUCCCACGAAAGCCUGCAAGAUUAUUGUUGCAACAGCUGUGUUGCACAACAUGUGCAUAAACAAAAGAAUUCCUCUGCCAGAAAAUGAGAUACCUAUGGAGUUAAAUGACAAUCUUAUCUACGAUGGAAUUGUCAAUGACGGAAGAGAGACAAGACGGCAUCUUGCAUUGAGACUUUCCUAAUUUUAUUGGAAGUCAUUGAACUCUGCAGGUCCUGCUCUCCAUCAAAGGCUGAGGGUCUAUUUCUUUUGGAGCUCUUGUGGAUACCAUUGGACGAGAAUUCCCUAAUUCACCGUGACUGCAAGUUGA